rnacentral:lncRNA from 1 species
GUGCACUGAGAGAGGGUGACGGGUACAGCUGAUCGAGUGCCUGUUCCUCUGCUUGUCAGUGUGCUUCAGAAGGGACCUACGCCGUCAUCAGCAGUUUCUCCUCUACUCCCAAAGCACAGCCUGCUGUCCCAGCGCAGAGCGUAAAGGACAAGUCUGAUGAAAAUCAGACCCAUGUCUAUUCUGCCAUUAUGACCCAGCCGUCAGCCUCAGCUAACAAGGACUUGAU